GACGAACGCUGGCGGCGUGCUUAACACAUGCAAGUCGAACGGAAAGGCCCUGCUUUUGUGGGGUGCUCGAGUGGCGAACGGGUGAGUAACACGUGAGUAACCUGCCCUUGACUUUGGGAUAACUUCAGGAAACUGGGGCUAAUACCGGAUAGGAUCUCCUGCUGCAUGGUGGGGGUUGGAAAGUUUCGGCGGUUGGGGAUGGACUCGCGGCUUAUCAGCUUGUUGGUGGGGUAGUGGCUUACCAAGGCUUUGACGGGUAGCCGGCCUGAGAGGGUGACCGGCCACAUUGGGACUGAGAUACGGCCCAGAAUCCUACGGGAGGCAGCAGUGGGGAAUAUUGCACAAUGGGCGGAAGCCUGAGGCAGCAACGCCGCGUGCGGGAUGACGGCCUUCGGGUUGUAAACCGCUUUCGCCUGUGACGAAGCGUGAGUGACGGUAAUGGGUAAAGAAGCACCGGCUAACUACGUG
rnacentral:rRNA from 1 species